rnacentral:rRNA from 1 species
GCGCAACGACUUGGGCGCUGUCUCGACCAUGGACCCGGUGAAAUUGCACUGGUCGUGAAGAUGCGACUUACCCGCGGAAGGACGGAAAGACCCCGUGAACCUUCACUGCAGCUUGGCAUUGGCCGCUGGUCCCGCGUGUAGAGGAUAGGCAGGAGGCACAGAUCCGGAGGCGCCAGCCCCCGGGGAGCCGCCCUUGGAAUACUGCCCUCGCGCGACCGGCGUCCUAACCCGAGGCCGUCAACCGGCUCGGGGACCGUGCCAGGCGGGCAGUUUGACUGGGGCGGUCGCCUCCUAAAGGGUAACGGAGGCGCGCGAAGGUCCGCUCGGGACGGUCGGCAACCGUCCUUUUGAAUGCAAGAGUACAAGCGGGCUUGACUGCGAGGCCCACAAGCCGAGCAGGUGCGAAAGCAGGCUCUAGUGAUCCGGCGGCCCCGAGUGGGUGGGCCGUCGCUCAACGGAUAAAAGGUACUCCGGGGAUAACAGGCUGAUCUUGCCCAAGAGUCCACAUCGACGGCAAGGUUUGGCACCUCGAUGUCGGCUCAUCGCAUCCUGGGGCUGGAGCAGGUCCCAAGGGUACGGCUGUUCGCCGUUUAAAGCGGUACGCGAGCUGGGUUCAGAACGUCGUGAGACAGUUCGGUCCCUAUCCUCCGUGGGCGCAGGAGAAUCGAUGGAGGCUGCCCCCAGUACGAGAGGACCGGGGUGGACGCACCUCCGGUGAACCGGUUGUCGACCAACGGCACGGCCGGGUAGCCGCGUGCGGCGCGGAUAACCGCUGAAGGCAUCUAAGCGGGAAGCCGUUCCAGGGAUUAGUUCUCCUUCCGGUAAGGGCCCAGGUAGACUACCUGGUCGAUAGACGGCAGGUGCAAGGGCGGCGACGUCCUCAGCCGAGCCGCACUAAUCGCCCGAGCUCUUCCGGAA